CCUACGGGCGGCAGCAGUGGGGAAUAUUGGGCAAUGGGCGCAAGCCUGACCCAGCAACGCCGCGUGAAGGAAGACGGCUUUCGGGUUGUAAACCUCUUUUCUCAGGGACGAAGCAAGUGACGGUACCUGAGGAAUAAGCCACGGCUAACUACGUGCCAGCAGCCGCGGUAAUACGUAGGUGGCAAGCGUUAUCCGGAUUUACUGGGUGUAAAGGGCGUGUAGGCGGGAAAGCAAGUCAGAUGUGAAAACCAUGGGGUCAACCUGUGGCCUGCAUUUGAAACUGUUUUUCUUGAGUGCUGGAGAGGCAGACGGAAUUCCUAGUGUAGCGGUGAAAUGCGUAGAUAUUAGGAGGAACACCAGUGGCGAAGGCGGUCUGCUGGACAGCAACUGACGCUGAGGCGCGAAAGCGUGGGGAGCAAACAGGAUUAGAUACCCUUGUAGUC
rnacentral:rRNA from 1 species